UAAAACAUAGGUUUGGCCCGAGAAAGAAUUUGUUAGGUUGAAGAACUUCAAGGAUUCCUAGCUUAUUGUCCAGUAGAAAGAAUUUGUUAGGUCCACCAGAUAGACUCAACCAGGGGACCAGUUCCGUCAGGCCUAUAUAUAAUCGGGCUUGACCUGUAUUAUUCUUUCUGCUGUAUAUGUUUAUCCUUGAAGUCUCUGAUUUCUUGCUGAUGAAUGUGAACUGAUGAUGGUGAUUUGGGACCGAGUCUCUGAUUUCUGUUUAUUUUCCCGGAUGAAUUCAGUGGGACUUUGGAUACCAUGGACAAAUGGACAUUGCCACACAGAGAGAUAGAAAGAGGUGGAUGGACUUGGAAUACUGACUGUCACUUUCUCCAUCUUGUCUUGCUAAGAGUGGUAGGGAAAUAGAUCUCUUAGACUAAAUGACAAGCUCUUCCAAAUACAUUGCUGGACUGUAUAUUACUUAAUUCCAAACCAAUUGCAACCCCACAUUAUUGGAAAAAACGACUUCUGUCAGCCAUAGAAUGCAUUCCAUGCUGAUAAAAUGGAGGAGAUUCAAAGCAUCCCAUUUGAACUUGUCAUCUUCAGGACUGCAUUAAUACAGAACAACCAAUCAUUGAAAAUGAAGUGAAACACAAAACAAAAACUCAGCCACCAAAAAGUAUUGCAAUGGCUGCUACUGGUGAGGUCGAGGAGAGAAGCUAUUGGAGAUUCCAGAAACAUGACUUCUUCCCGAAGAGUCAUUCAGAACGUAGGGUAACUACCGGGCUGCAUUAUGUCAGACAUGUCAUCGAUUCAAGGACCGCCUUACAAGCCGGUCUGACGAUGAGAAUGAGGUGGAAGAGAUGCGAAAGCAAAGUGAGAAUGAGAUGAAACGCUGCCUCACCUGGUGGGAUCUAACCUGGUUCGGAUUCGGUUCGGUUAUCGGAGCUGGCAUCUUUGUGUUGACAGGACAAGAAGCUCACGACCAUGCUGGUCCUGCCAUCGUCCUAUCCUACGUAGCUUCAGGAGUGUCAGCCAUGCUUUCUGUAUUCUGUUACACAUAAUUCGCAGUUGAAUUCCCUGUUGCAGGUGGAUCGUUUGCUUACUUGAGGAUCAAGUUGGGAGACUUUGCUGCGUUCAUAACUGCAGGGAACAUACUGCUCGAAAGCGUUCUGGGCACUGCAGCUGUGGCGAGAUCGUGGACUUCAUAUCUCGCCACGCUUCUGAAUCGUCCACCGAAUUCCCUUCGUAUUCAUACGAAUCUUAGCCAGGGCUAUAAUCAUCUGGACCCCAUUGCUGUUCUGGUUUUGGCCAUUGCUUCUACCAUCGCCA
rnacentral:lncRNA from 1 species